AUUGAACGCUGGCGGCAGGCCUAACACAUGCAAGUCGAACGAGUGGCGGACGGGUGAGCAAUGUCUGGGAAACUGCCCGAUGGAGGGGGAUAACUACUGGAAACAGUAGCUAAUACCGCAUACCAUCGGAUGUGCCCAGAUGGGAUUAGCUAGGUGGUGGGGUAACGUCUCACCUAGGCGACGAUCCCUAGCUGGUCUGAGAGGAUGACCAGCCACACUGGAACUGAGACACGGUCCAGACUCCUACGGGAGGCAGCAGUGGGGAAUAUUGCACAAUGGACGCAAGCCUGAGGCAGCCAUGCCGCGUGUAUGAAGAAGGCCUUCGGGUUGUAAAGUGCUGUCAGCGGGGAGGCGUUACUCGGACAAGAAGCACCGGCUAACUCCGUGCCAGCAGCCGCGGUAAUUC
rnacentral:rRNA from 1 species